AUUGAACGCUGGCGGCAGGCCUAACACAUGCAAGUCGAGCGGAUGAAGGGAGCUUGCUCCUGGAUUCAGCGGCGGACGGGUGAGUAAUGCCUAGGAAUCUGCCUGGUAGUGGGGGAUAACGUCCGGAAACGGGCGCUAAUACCGCAUACGUCCUGAUGGAGAAAGUGGGGGAUCUUCGGACCUCACGCUAUCAGAUGAGCCUAGGUCGGAUUAGCUAGUUGGUGGGGUAAAGGCCUACCAAGGCGACGAUCCGUAACUGGUCUGAGAGGAUGAUCAGUCACACUGGAACUGAGACACGGUCCAGACUCCUACGGGAGGCAGCAGUGGGGAAUAUUGGACAAUAGGCGAAAGCCUGAUCCUGCCAUGCCGCGUGUGUGAAGAAGGUCUUCGGAUUGUAAAGAACUUUUAGUUGGGAGGAAGGGCAGUAAGUUAAUACCUUGCUGUUUUGACGUUACCAACAGAAUAAGCACCGGCUAACUUCGUG
rnacentral:rRNA from 1 species